AAAGACGGGUGAGAAUCCCGUCCACCGAUUGACUAAGGUUUCCAGAGGAAGGCUCGUCCGCUCUGGGUUAGUCGGGUCCUAAGCUGAGGCCGACAGGCGUAGGCGAUGGAUAACAGGUUGAUAUUCCUGUACCACCUAUAAUCGUUUUAAUCGAUGGGGGGACGCAGUAGGAUAGGCGAAGCGUGCGAUUGGAUUGCACGUCUAAGCAGUAAGGCUGAGUAUUAGGCAAAUCCGGUACUCAUUAAGGCUGAGCUGUGAUGGGGAGAAGACAUUGAGUCUUCGAGUCGUUGAUUUCACACUGCCGAGAAAAGCCUCUAGAUAGAAAAUAGGUGCCCGUACCGCAAACCGACACAGGUAGUCAAGAUGAGAAUUCUAAGGUGAGCGAGCGAACUCUCGUUAAGGAACUCGGCAAAAUGACCCCGUAACUUCGGGAGAAGGGGUGCUCUUUAGGGUUAACGCCCAGAAGAGCCGCAGUGAAUAGGCCCAAGCGACUGUUUAUCAAAAACACAGGUCUCUGCUAAACCGUAAGGUGAUGUAUAGGGGCUGACGCCUGCCCGGUGCUGGAAGGUUAAGAGGAGUGGUUAGCUUCUGCGAAGCUACGAAUCGAAGCCCCAGUAAACGGCGGCCGUAACUAUAACGGUCCUAAGGUAGCGAAAUUCCUUGUCGGGUAAGUUCCGACCCGCACGAAAGGCGUAACGAUUUGGGCACUGUCUCAACGAGAGACUCGGUGAAAUCAUAGUACCUGUGAAGAUGCAGGUUACCCGCGACAGGACGGAAAGACCCCGUGGAGCUUUACUGUAGCCUGAUAUUGAAAUUCGGCACAGCUUGUACAGGAUAGGUAGGAGCCUUUGAAACGUGAGCGCUAGCUUACGUGGAGGCGCUGGUGGGAUACUACCCUAGCUGUGUUGGCUUUCUAACCCGCACCACUUAUCGUGGUGGGAGACAGUGUCAGGCGGGCAGUUUGACUGGGGCGGUCGCCUCCUAAAAGGUAACGGAGGCGCUCAAAGGUUCCCUCAGAAUGGUUGGAAAUCAUUCAUAGAGUGUAAAGGCAUAAGGGAGCUUGACUGCGAGACCUACAAGUCGAGCAGGGUCGAAAGACGGACUUAGUGAUCCGGUGGUUCCGCAUGGAAGGGCCAUCGCUCAACGGAUAAAAGCUACCCCGGGGAUAACAGGCUUAUCUCCCCCAAGAGUUCACAUCGACGGGGAGGUUUGGCACCUCGAUGUCGGCUCAUCGCAUCCUGGGGCUGUAGUCGGUCCCAAGGGUUGGGCUGUUCGCCCAUUAAAGCGGUACGCGAGCUGGGUUCAGAACGUCGUGAGACAGUUCGGUCCCUAUCCGUCGUGGGCGUAGGAAAUUUGAGAGGAGCUGUCCUUAGUACGAGAGGACCGGGAUGGACAUACCUCUGGUGUACCAGUUGUCGUGCCAACGGCAUAGCUGGGUAGCUAUGUGUGGACGGGAUAAGUGCUGAAAGCAUCUAAGCAUGAAGCCCCCCUCAAGAUGAGAUUUCCCAACUUCGGUUAUAAGAUCCCUCAAAGAUGAUGAGGUUAAUAGGUUCGAGGUGGAAGCAUGGUGACAUGUGGAGCUGACGAAUACUAAUCGAUCGAAGACUUAAUCAAAA
rnacentral:rRNA from 1 species